CUACGUUUACUUUCAUUUUUUAAUUUUACUAGAGUGGGGAGCGAACGAGCAUUCGUCCGCUUAGUGUAAAUGCACCAUAAGGAGGGAGACGGCAAGGGAUUUACGUAACGGGGAAAAAGGAACUGUAAAGAGACGAAUCGCCUGGGUAUUGUGUAACCGUGUUGUGGCGCGUUAGAUGGUAGUUGUUCGUAGAAGAAAUUGGUUAAUUCCCAUUAGCGUUUCUGGUUCGCCUCAAUGUCCAUUACGCGGAUUAGAGGAAAUCACGUAAGGUCUUUCUGUGGGAAGAUCUAGAUCGAAGGGUGAGGCGAAGACGCGGGGGAAGGAUUGACCGGAUGUUCCAGGGAAAUUGGAGUAAUCAAUGGAAGGAAAUUGGAUACCAAAUCAAAUUAUGCAGAGUGUCUUGUUCUGCAGUUACUGGUGAUAAAAGAAUAGAAUGUUGAAGAUUAAUUUAACCCGAUAGAGACUUAAACAUUGAAAUGAAGUGUUCAAAUACCAAUAGAAGCAAUGGCAGAGCGAAGAAGAUUUAUGUAUUCCUUGCAAGGAACACAGUGAAACACUGUGAGAAAAUAAUCAAUCGAUAUAAGGAAAGCGACACGUUCCAAUGUCUCAGAGAAAUGAAUGAGAACGACUUCUAUGGAAACAUGAAUUAAUGUCACGUGUGGUAGGUUUCUCAGAAAGGAAUCUAUUAGCACGAUUUACUGACGGAGAAAUAUUAGUAGCCAUUAUCAUGGAACGGUUGAGUAGUAUGAUUUGUUGCAGCGGUAAGCUAAUGAGUCUCAUUCCUAUGGAAAAAUCAAUUAGUAUACUCUCCAAACGUAAAAAGACUGAAAAAUGUUUCUAGACAGGCCAUCGUGGAAAAUUGUUGAGACUGACUAGUCUAAAACCUGUAUUUACAGAAAAGUCUUUAGAAAUCGAAUCUGGGUGAACUAAUUAAUUAAUUUGAACUUAAGAAAAUGCUCUCAGGGAAAGAACGUUUAUUACAACUUGUAUGCAGCUGUAUGGAGAUUUAUCAAACUUUCUGUCACUAGAAAUCCGCGGAUAAGGAAACCUGCCUUAAUGUUAUAAUCACGACAGCCAGGCACAUUUACUAUUCUGUAGUUAGUAGAUAUCUGAAGUUAUUUUGCAAUUAAGAAAUCGGAGAUAUCUAUUACUAGGAAGAUUUCCAAGAAAAUAUUAUAUAUUGAGGAUUUAUAUCUAUAAGAAAUCUUAUUAUCUUGGAAAAUUAUAGAUAUCUGUUACCGCAACAAAUGAUAAAAGAACUUAAAAUUCUACUACUUAAAAGUCAAGUGAAGGGCUUCUUUUUUCCGGCUAAGAUAAACGUUUUAAAAGAAGAAAACUUUUGCAACCACAAAAAUAUCGAACCCACAUCACUAUACCAACACGACCCCAAUAAAAUCGGCCACGGUGAUCCUCCGGGUACCAUCACGAUCUCCAUGGUUGUUGGCCGAAAUUAGUGGUUUCACGAGCAGCAUCUCGUCUGAAAUCCCUGUUUGCAACUUUGGUUACUCAAAACUCAAAGAGAGAAAGAGAACUCGACGUGGUUAUCCAAUGACGUCAUAAGAUAAUUCAACGUUGCAUCACGGCUGCAUGUCUGCGUUUUAAUUCAAAAGAUCAUGUUCUUUUGCCUGGAUGGGAACAAAACAAGUGGCAUUUAUAUUUAUUCAAAAGGAAAAAAUUUUAUAUUUUACUUCGAUUUAAUUAUAAAUGGUAGAUGAAUGUUAUAUAUGCUAUUAUUAGCUUAUAUAAGUCACUUUCAGUAACAUAAUUAAUAUUAAUAAUAACGCACUGUUUUCAAUGUAUGUACAGUAGCUACGAAAAAUGUCUGCUCAAAUUUUAAUCUUAAUGUAUCUCUUUAAAUGUAACUUUUAACGUAAAUUAUACAUUCUUCUA